rnacentral:lncRNA from 1 species
GGACAUUGGUCAACCUUCAUCUCAAAAAUCAAAAGCUAAAAAUAAUUUUAAGACAUAAAAAUAAAAUCAAGAAAAAAAAGCAUGUUAAAGUGAACCACUUGGAAAGAAUAAUUAAAAUAAAAUAUUAAUAUUAAAUAAAUACGAAAAUAUAAAUUAAAUAAAAUUAAAUAAGACAUUAAGAAAUGUGGAAAAUAUUUUUUGAUAUUUUUAUGGACAAAGGAAAUAUUUUAAAAUAAUCAAA